rfam:Desulfobacterium vacuolatum DSM 3385 genome assembly, contig: Ga0002809_137
UAGGGCGAUUCAAAGAUGUGCGAUGCCCAAAGCGGUCAUGAAAAAACAAUGACAGGCAUGAUGGCAGCGUUGGCAGGUGCCAACCUGAUUUACGGCCUGG